rnacentral:rRNA from 1 species
CCCUGCCCUUUGUACACACCGCCCGUCGCUCCUACCGUUGGAUCUUAAGGUGAGCUUGGCAGAUGCACUGUGGUACUCGUACCAUAGGCAGAAACCAAACGAACCUUUUGGUCUGUAGGAAGGAGAAGUCGUAACAAGGUUUUCGUAGGU